rnacentral:lncRNA from 1 species
AAGGACAUAUCGCUCGGGAUUGUACGGUAGCGAAACCUAGUUCAGCGGGGACGGUGACUCAAAAGAUUGUCCCAGAAAAGUCAAAGUCAAUGGUUCCUGGAAGAGCGUUUGUUGUGACUGGUCAAAAUGCGAGGAACCCAAACGAGAUGAUCACGGGUAAGCUAAUCAUAAAUUCUUUUGAAGUUUAUACUUUACUAGAUACCGGUGCUACCCAUUCAUUUAUCUCUCCUACUUGUGCUCAACGUUUAAAUUUGACUCCAGAAAAAUUAGACUUUGACCUAU